rnacentral:lncRNA from 1 species
UCCAUUUUAGGGGUACUAACCUAGCUUAGUUGAGUGCACAGUUUAGCUCUAUGCAUAAGUAUCUAACCAUUGACAAAAUUGGUGUAAUGUUAGAUUCAUCCAUAAAACACAUUUACCAUUAUAAUUUUGUAUCAUAUAAUUGAAAUGCUAUAGAGUAAUUGUGAAUCAAAACCUUGACUCUAUGAUCGAUGAACAAAAAGGGGACAUGUCUAUGUACCAAAAUAGAGGA